rnacentral:rRNA from 1 species
AUUAGUGGCGAACGGGUGAGUAAUACGUGAGUAACCUGCCCUUGACUCUGGGAUAAGCCUGGGAAACUGGGUCUAAUACUGGAUACUACCUCUCAUCGCAUGGUGGGUGGUGGAAAGGGUUUUACUGGUUUUGGAUGGGCUCACGGCCUAUCAGCUUGUUGGUGGGGUAAUGGCUCACCAAGGCGACGACGGGUAGCCGGCCUGAGAGGGUGACCGGCCACACUGGGACUGAGACACGGCCCAGACUCCUACGGGAGGCAGCAGUGGGGAAUAUUGCACAAUGGGCGGAAGCCUGAUGCAGCGACGCCGCGUGAGGGAUGACGGCCUUCGGGUUGUAAACCUCUUUCAGUAGGGAAGAAGCG